GCUGAUGGGACUUUGUGUUUCCCCUGGGUGGGGGUCAUGGGAUUUAUUCCUCUAAGCAAGGGACAGAAAUGCUUUUUGUCCCUCCUGAUCCAUUCUCUAUCCUUCUCCUGCUUCAUUUAUGCCCAAGCAAGCUGACCUCUACAGACUGCAUUACCCCAGCUCUCUUAUCUUCUGGCUUCUGGUUGGAUUUGCCAAUGCAGGCCCCAGCAGAAGACUGGAGGUGUGGAGGAAAGGAGUCUGACUGGUCCUGGGACCUUUAAGAAUUCAGCUUUGCCAAAGCACAAAGUUCAAGUGUCCCCAGUGGUGACAUCUUGCAAAACUAUAGCACGGUAUCACAAGGAGGAGAGUUGUGUUGGUUUCCUGUAGCUGCUGUAACAAAUCACCACAAACUGGGUGGCUGAAAACAAGAUAAAGCUACGCUCUCACACUUCUGGAGAUCAGAAGCUCAAAGUCAAGGUAUAGGCAGGGCUGUGCUUCCUCUGGAGACUCCAAAUGGAAUCCGUUCCUUGCCUCUUCUAGCAUCUGGCAGCUGAUCUAA
rnacentral:lncRNA from 1 species